rnacentral:lncRNA from 1 species
CCUGUCUCGUCUUUCCGCCAAGCUAUACAUGUUAAGAUCCUUUAACCUUUCCUGGUAAGUUUUAUCCCGCAAUCCAUGAACCAGUUUAGUAGCCCUUCUCUGAACCCUCUCUAAGGUAUCAAUAUCCUUCUGAAGAUACGGUCUCCAGUACUGUGUACAAUACUCCAAGUGAGGUCUCACCAGUGUUCUGUAUAAUGGCAUGAGCACUUCCCUCUUUCUACUGCUAAUACCUCUCCUAUACAACCAAGCAUUCUGCUAGCAUUUCCUGCUGCUCUAUUACAUUGUCUGCCUACCUUUAAGUCAUCAGAAAUAAUCACCCC